AGUCUUAUAGUCAUAUAAAUGAUUUUAAAUUGCAAAUUUAAAGGUAAAUAAAAAAUUUUAAGGCUU
rnacentral:tRNA from 1 species